AUGGGCCCACAAGUCAGGUUGACCCUCUUCUUCCUCCUCUCUCUUUCUCUCUUUGGCAUUUCUACAAACACCUCGUGUGCACCUGCAAGCCACCUCUACUGCCGACCACGGCCGGCGCUCACUCACGCACGACGGCACACACGCUCGCCGGCGGCAGCUACGCGCAGCUCUCCUGGAGCAUGGCUCACGCAUGGUCCAUUUUCAGCGACGGCGGCGGCGGCUACGCGCAGCUCACCUGGAGCAUGGCUCAAGCAUGGUCCAUUUUCAUUUCCACAGCCUAGUCUCGUGGCUCUCGACUCCCGUGGACGACGCGGCGGCAAGGGGCCAGCACUAGCGCCUGCGGCGGAGGAGGCGAGGGACUGGGCGAGGCUCCUGCUGGACGUGCUCUGCGCCAUCCUCCACAAGCUCGACCACAUCAAGAUCCUGACCGGCGUGGGGCAGGUGCGCCGCUCCUGGUGCCGCGCCGCGAGCGACGUGCCCGCGCUCUGGCGCCGCAUCGACAUGCGCGGCCACGCGGACAUCCACGAGCUCUACCUCCGCGGCUAG
rnacentral:rRNA from 1 species